rnacentral:rRNA from 1 species
AUUGAACGCUGGCGGCAGGCCUAACACAUGCAAGUCGAACGAGUGGCGGAGGGGUGAGUAAUGGCUGGGAAACUGCCUGAUGGAGGGGGAUAACUACUGGAAACGGUAGCUAAUACCGCAUAAGACGAGGUGUGCACAGGUGGGAUUAGCUUGUUGGUGGGGUAACGGCUCACCAAGGCGACGAUCCGUAACUGGUCUGAGAGGCUGAUCAGCCACACUGGAACUGAGACACGGUCCAGACUCCUACGGGAGGCAGCAGUGGGGAAUAUUGGACAAUGGGCGAAAGCCUGAUCCAGCCAUGCCGCGUGUGUGAAGAAGGUCUUCGGAUUGUAAAGCACUUUAAGUUGGGAGGCGUUACCUACAGAAUAAGCACCGGCUAACUUCGUGCCAGCAGCCGCGGUAAUAC